rnacentral:tRNA from 1 species
UUAAUUGAGGCCAAAGUAGAGGCAUUCUAUUGUUAAUAGAACUAUUGAAUAUAAUCCAAUUAAU